CUGCGGAAGGAUCAUUACCGAGUGAGGGCCCUCUGGGUCCAACCUCCCACCCGUGUUUAUUUUACCUUGUUGCUUCGGCGGGCCCGCCUUAACUGGCCGCCGGGGGGCUCACGCCCCCGGGCCCGCGCCCGCCGAACACACCCUCGAACUCUGUCUGAAGAUUGAAGUCUGAGUGAAAAUAUAAAUUAUUUAAAACUUUCAACAACGGAUCUCUUGGUUCCGGCAUCGAUGAAGAACGCAGCGAAAUGCGAUACGUAAUGUGAAUUGCAAAUUCAGUGAAUCAUCGAGUCUUUGAACGCACAUUGCGCCCCCUGGUAUUCCGGGGGGCAUGCCUGUCCGAGCGUCAUUGCUGCCCUAAAGCCCGGCUUGUGUGUUGGGCCCCGUCCUCCGAUCUCCGGGGGACGGGCCCGAAAGGCAGCGGCGGCACCGCGUCCGGUCCUCGAGCGUAUGGGGCUUUGUCACCCGCUCUGUAAGCCCGGCCGGCGCUUGCCGAUAAACCCAGAUUUUUAUCCCGGUUGACCUCGGAUCAGGUAGGGAUACCCGUGAACUUAA
rnacentral:rRNA from 1 species